UACGUAGGGUGCAAGCGUUUAAUCGGAAUUACUGGGCGUAAAGCGUGCGCAGGCGGUUUUGUAAGUCUGUCGUGAAAUCCCCGGGCUCAACCUGGGAAUUGCGUUGGAGACUGCAAGGCUAGAAUCUGGCAGAGGGGGGUAGAAUUCCACGUGUAGCAGUGAAAUGCGUAGAGAUGUGGAGGAACACCGAUGGCGAAGGCAGCCCCCUGGGUCAAGAUUGACGCUCAUGCACGAAAGGCGUGGGGAGCAAACAGG
rnacentral:rRNA from 1 species